AGUGGUUCUUACAUAUUUAAUGACGUGUGAGGUAACUAUAUAUGUGUGUAAAAUAAUGCUUAGGGGGAACCAGAAAAGGUGAAUGCAAAUGCAUUAGGGGCAGUUUUGUUUCUUGAUCAAUGAUCACGAGUCAUUUCCUGCCCAAAGAAAACCAGGAAGGAGCAGCGCAACCCCACAAUGCCACCACAUAUUUUCACCCUUCCAUCGUCAGAAAGUCAUGUGCAGAGAUCAUUUAAAAAAAAAAAAGGAACGGAGAACACUUUGUAUGGGACAAAACUAAUUGGAGUAGUGGUCCAUCGAUCCUUCAAGAAUAUUAUUAGGGAAAAAAUAAAAUGGGAUUUGCAAGUGGUUAAUGUGUUAUCUCAUAUUCCCAUGAAGACCGAUGAUAUAUGGUUCUCCAUAAGAUCAAUCUCAACUUCAGUUCUGCCCAAUAAUCAUCAAUUAAAUCUUCCCAUACAACCGCGUGCACGUGUUUGUGAUUUGUGAUCUUCUCAUGGGUUCAGCUCCAUGCAUAUUAAACGGCUGUUAUAGGGUGUUCACACCAGUGUUAUCUAACUUUUGUCUUUUUAUGAGUAGAACCAAUUGAAAAUUUUAAAUACAACACUACCUGGUUGGUUUUGCGUUAUGAAAGACUAGUUAUGAAAAGAAUGGAUUUCUUUAUUAAGGAUAAAACUUAGACCCACUUAAUAAAAGUACUUUUAGUAUUGUUUUUUUAAUUAAAA